AUUGAACGCUGGCGGCAUGCUUUACACAUGCAAGUCGAACGGCAGCACGGGUGCUUGCACCUGGUGGCGAGUGGCGGACGGGUGAGUAAUGCAUCGGAACGUGUCCUUAAGUGGGGGAUAACGCAUCGAAAGAUGUGCUAAUACCGCAUAAUCUCUGAGGAGAAAAGCAGGGGAUCGCAAGACCUUGCGCUUUUGGAGCGGCCGAUGCCUGAUUAGCUAGUUGGUGAGGUAAUGGCUCACCAAGGCGUCGAUCAGUAGUUGGUCUGAGAGGACGACCAGCCACACUGGGACUGAGACACGGCCCAGACUCCUACGGGAGGCAGCAGUGGGGAAUUUUGGACAAUGGGCGCAAGCCUGAUCCAGCCAUGCCGCGUGAGUGAAGAAGGCCUUCGGGUUGUAAAGCUCUUUCAGUCGAGAAGAAAAGGUCACGGCUAAUAAUCGUGAUCCAUGACGGUAUCGACAGAAGAAGCACCGCUAACUA
rnacentral:rRNA from 1 species